UUCGUUUCAAAUACAGUGAAACUUCCAUAUAACGAACUAGGUAGACUCACGUUAUCAGAGAAAAAAAAUGUUUAAUAGGUGCUUAUAAUUUUUCGGAAACGCAAUAGGUGGUAGGUAUUUAUGAUAAAUCUCAGUGUAAUCUUAGUGCAGUUUUUCAACAGACGCAUUAUUACAGUUAUUUGUUUUUAAAAAUGUCAUACUCCAGCCAGGAAUCUAAUAUUAACACUAGUGACGUUUCAGCAGGUUUCAUUGACUUUUUAGGGGAUGAUGAGUUUGAAGAAAUGGUAAAAUUAAUUACUUAUACAUACCUGUAUAUAAUUUAUUAAAAAAUAAUAAAUUGUAUGUAUUUAUAGCUAUCAAAUACACCGAGACGAAUCUAUUACAAUAAUUUAUUAAUCCAUGAAGAAAUCAUUUCUGCUGACGAGACUAGAAUCGAUGUCAAACGUGUAUCGGAGUAUUGUAUUAACCACCAACGAGCAAAUGAUAAAAUAAAUGAUAUCGACUCAUGGACUGGAAAAGAUUCUGAUGUUAUAUGUCUUGAAGCACUGGUACGGUAUAUUUGGGGAGAGGAUACGCGAACAACGAGAGGUUAAUGUUAGAAACAUGUAA